CAGGGAUUGCCCUAGUAACGGCGAGUGAAGCGGCAACAGCUCAAAUUUGAAAUCUGGCCCUCGGGUCCGAAUUGUAAUUUGUAGAGGAUGUUUUUGGUGCGGUAUCUUCCGAGUUCCUUGGAACAGGACGCCUUAGAGGGUGAGAGCCCCGUACGGUUGAAUGCCUAGCCUUUGUAAAACUCCUUCGACGAGUCGAGUAGUUUGGGAAUGCUGCUCUAAAUGGGAGGUAAAUUUCUUCUAAAGCUAAAUACUGGCCAGAGACCGAUAGCGCACAAGUAGAGUGAUCGAAAGAUGAAAAGCACUUUGAAAAGAGGGUUAAAUAGCACGUGAAAUUGUUGAAAGGGAAGGAUUUAUGACCAGACUUUUUCUAGGCGAAUCAUCCGGUGUUCUCACCGGUGCACUUCGUUUAGUUUAGGCCAGCAUCGAUUUUCGGGGUGGGAUAAAAGCUUUAGGAAUGUGGCUCCCUCGGGAGUGUUAUAGCCUAUUGUAUAAUACCGCCCUGGGGAUCGAGGUACGCGCUUCUGCAAGGAUGCUGGCGUAAUGGUUAUCAAUCACCCGUCUUGAAACACGGACCAAGGAGUCGAACAUUUGUGCAAGUGUUUGGGUGUUAAACCCUCACGCGUAAUGAAAGUGAACGGAGGUGAGAGCCCUUACGGGUGCAUCAUCGACCGAUCCUGAUGUCUUCGGAUGGAUUUGAGUAAGAGCAUAACUGUUCGGACCCGAAAGAUGGUGAACUAUGCGUGGAUAGGGUGAAGCCAGAGGAAACUCUGGUGGAGGCUCGCAGCGGUUCUGACGUGCAAAUCGAUCGUCAAAUCUGCGCAUGGGG
rnacentral:rRNA from 1 species